rnacentral:ncRNA from 2 species
GUAAUGUCUUUUUUUUCAGGUGCUCCACGGAGCAUAAAAGGGAACCCUGUGAAAAUCAGGGACGGGCCCGCCGCUGUGAUCGGUGACGACUCUCAGGUGAAAGCCACUGUCCGGAAAUCAGGAUGGGAAGGCGCGAGAGAAGGAUGAUCCGAGAGUCAGAAGACCUACCUGGAAAACGCUGACUCU